UGGGGGAUAUUGCACAAUGGGCGAAAGCCUGAUGCAGCGACGCCGCGUGGGGGAUGAAGGCUUUCGGGUUGUAAACCUCUUUCGCUAUCGAACAAGGCCCGCUUAGGGUGGGUUGAGGGUAGGUGGAGAAGAAGCGCCGGCUAACUACGUGCCAGCAGCCGCGGUAAUACGUAGGGCGCGAGCGUUGUCCGGAAUUAUUGGGCGUAAAGGGCUUGUAGGCGGCUUGGUGCGCCUGCUGUGAAAACGCGGGGCUUAACUUCGCGCGUGCAGUGGGUACGGGCAGGCUUGAGUGUGGUAGGGGUGACUGGAAUUCCAGGUGUAGCGGUAGAAUGCGCAGAUAUCUGGAGGAACACCGAUGGCGAAGGCAGGUCACUGGGCCAUUACUGACGCUGAGGAGCGAAAGCAUGGGUAGCGAACAGG
rnacentral:rRNA from 1 species